UCUGAUUGGUCACGCUAUCUAUCUGCUUCUGCUCCAGGUCUCGCCUGGGGGACUGCGAGGUCCCGGCCCGCUCGGGUCCCGGUCCGCGGGGCUGCGGCUGAGGGCCGGAGCGCGCGGCGGAGACUGGGCCGUCCGGAAUGACUGCCCUGCGCAACAGCGGCAGGUCCCUGGAGGUCCGCCCCGGAGGCACCGGCUAGUCCGGGCUGAGCGCUCCGGGCCGGUGGCCGUGACGAGUGACGUCCCCAGGGGACCUCCGGGGUGCCGCCCAACUCCGCGGUGAAGCCAAGGGUUCCCAAGCCCCUGCCCGCCUGGACCCAGAGUCACACCCGAGACUGCAGACAAACUCGCGAGCUCGCCCGUGGCCGGGGCUGUUCCGUUCCCGCCGCCCCGAUUCCACACCAACUUCAGGGAGACGCCUCGGAACCUCCUGCUGGGGCCCCAGCAUGGUGCCCCAGACCUCGUGUGAACCAGCUCCGCCCCUGCCGGCGCUGUGACCUCGGGGAAGCCCUCACCCCCCUCCAGCUCAGGGUCCUCUUCCCUGCCAUGAGCAAUGACACUGCCUUCUGUGUGGGGUGGGGGGUCCCACGGACAACGGGGACAACGUGGCGAGGGCCUGGUAGGUGCUCGGCGCCCUGGAGCCCCCUCCUGCAGCCUGACGGCUUCCCUUCCACCUGGACCCACCUGGGGUCUUCCCCACGUGGCCUGCUGGCAGAGCGGGCCCCUGUUCCCAGCCUCCUUCCCAGCUACCUGGGAGACCUGACCUGAGCCUCCCCUCUUCCCCAGGCCCAGGCCCUCCUGCCCCAUCUCCUGGCCGCCUCACCCCACUGUCCUACCCCUACUCUGGAAUCUGGUGGGACUGGGUGUUUGAGGGCCUGUGAGUGCCGGGCUCUGUGCCCUGCUGCCUGCCCUGCCUGAGCUCACAGCAGAGGGAACAUCUGGUGGGUUCCAGUGGUUCAGCAGGUCAGUGCGGGAGGGUCAGUGGCCCUCCCAGCCCUGGCAACCUUGCCUCUGCCUCACUCUUGGGCUGCGUGGCCUCCUGGACCUCCCUAGGCCCAUCCGGUACCUGCAGGUGCCGCUGGAGCGCAGGGUCCACGUGGCCCUGAUGCAUGGGAGCUGAGCUUGGCCCCUUCCUGGCCCCUCCCUGCAAAGAAGACUCAGCCGACAGCCAGGCUGCACCAUCCUUGCAGGGCGGGCCUAGGCCCUGUGGGCCGCAGUGCGAGUGCGCAGCCCGCUAGAGCGCAGGGCCGGCCCACGGUCGUCCAGCGCAUGCCUGAGUCGGCCCUGGUGCGCUCCGGCCUCGGUGUGUUGAGGUUGGCCUGGCCGCCAUCGCUGUACCACCAGACGGUGCCUGAGGGCUCGCGGCUGCAGCUGGCAGAGGUGUGGGCCAUCGGCGCAGGGCGUUCAGCCAUCGGGCGUGUGGUGCAGCGUGCUGAAGCCACAGCCCUCCUGGUUGUGGGCGCCGCCAGAGCCCUGGAACGUGUCCCCUGUACGGUGUCCCCUGUGCAGCCCUUCAGCCGCACCCCCAUCAUGGAUCCUGGCCAUCUGGGCCCCCCGGCAGGUAGUCCAGGAGGAACAUCCUUUCCCGGAGAGCUGAGGCUGGCAGAAGUAGGCUGAGAAGUUGGGGACUCUGGGGUCCCAACCUUCUCCCCAGCCCCUAGCCCGGGAAGCAUGUCAGCAAACCGCGAUGCUUGUGGGCAGGGGGUUGGCACGAGAGCCCCCAGCCCUCCCAGGCACUCACCUGUGGCCCUGAGUACAGGCCGAGAGGUAGAGCCAAUAAAACCGGUCUCCCUGGUUCACGCGGAAGCUGUCAGAGCGGGCCCGCAGCGAGUGGUCACCCACGUCCCGCAGAUCCACCGUCAGCUCGGUGGGCAGGCCAGGCUGGGAGGUCAGGCCCAAGAUGUGUUCCAGCCCCGGCCAGUGGUCACCUGCGGGGAGUGGGGCACCCAGGCUCAGGCCUGCCCUGUGUUCUCAACAAGGCCCUGGGGCCCUGGCUGCACAGCCUUCCUACCUCCCCCGUCUCCAAAGCCCUCUUUGUACUCCUGCCGGCACCUCUCAAAAUCCAGCAGCCUCUCCCCGCCCCAGUCUUGACUCUGAAUCACCGUCCAACCACUGUCUGCGCGCUUGUCACAGAACCUGGGGUGGGGUGGGCACGUCAGCGCCUCCUGUGCUGGCUGUGCCUGGCGGAUCGCAGGGGCCUGCCUCUCCACGGUCCAGGGGGGAGGGAUGUCCGCUCUCCCCUAAGCACUCUUUAUAUGUUUGAAAAAUGAAACCUUGGUUUUCUGCUUGUCAGUGUAAUACAAACUUGCAUUGGAAUACGUUUAAAUUCUCAGAAAUAGGGUGAAGAUUUAAAGUAACUCUCCAGGCCUCAGGCUGAUGGCUUCAAUUUAAUGGAUGUUAUUUUAUACUUAACUUGUAUUCUGGGCAUCUUUCUUUGUUCCCCUGGAAGUAGACUUCUCCUCUCCUUUCCUGACUGUGGCCAGCGCUCAGAGAGCAUCUCUGUCUGGCCUGGCGCGGCCCUUCCCUCCCAACCGCCAACGGUAACAUCUGUUUUUGCCAAAGUGAUACACGAACUGCAGGCUGCUCUCCUGGACGGGGCACUGGGUGCUCUGGCUGGCUGGCGUACACACCACUGGGGCCCUCUGGUUCUCCACCCAGAUCUGAGAGCAGUCCCUCCCUGGGGAACACUCGGGCCAGGAGGGGUCGGAGUUCUCCAGGUGACCAGACCCAGAGCCUGAGAAGGGCCCAUGGACAAUCCAGCAGAUGACUUAUAACCUUGGUCCUGGCAGACGGGCAGCCACUGUCCUCUCACCUUGGGCCACACCUGCCUCAGGCCUCUUCCCUUCUGGAAGUGGCUGGCCUUCAGGCUCCUAGCAUUUGCUGGCCCCCAGCCCUCAGUCAGACCCUCGAUUCCUUCCGCUGCCCCUGGACACCACCUCUCCCUGUGGGUCCAACAUGGCCUUCACCUGCUGCCCUAGGAGGGUCUGCCUUGGCUUCCCCGCCUCCCUCCCCCGGCCCAGCUGGCCCCCCUAACACCAGCCUGGAGGGGGCCUGGUCCUUGUCUGCCCCUCCCCCAGGCUGUUCAGGGCAGGUACCCAGGUGGGUCCUCACGGGGAGUGAGAAGCCUGCAGGGUGCAGACCUGUGGGUAACAGCUCAGAGGCCACCCAGCCAGCAUGCACCGGGCCCCUCCCACUGCCCCACACCCGGCCAGACCUUGGGGUUCCAGCAGGACCGCCUGGACCUGUGGAGAGAAGACCGCGGGCAGAGGGAAGUUCAGUAGCCCCGGGAGCCCCUGGCCCACCAUGGGCCUGCCACCCACUCCUACCGGCCUUUGACAAUGUACCUCAGAGCUGGCCCAGGGCAGAGGGACGCAGAAGAGCCCCGAGACCCAGCGCAGGGCGGCGGCCAUGCUUCCUGGGGGGGCAAACACUGUGGAGAAGCGCCACCCCGCCGGCCUCCUGCCGUGCCCCCGGGGCAGCCCACACGCCUCUCCAUGCUCAGUCGCCUUUCUGGGCAGAUGUGAGCCGCUGGUCCCCACUGAGUUUUGUUCAAGCUGCUGGGCUCGCUCCCACCUCCUCCCCUCCGGCGUGCCAGGGUGGGGGGCUGAGCAGGGAGGGGAGCCCCAGGGUGUGGACUAGGAGGGCAGGGGUCCACAAGGGAUGGGUGGGUGCCACCAACAUCCUGAUGCCCUUCCCCAUCCUCCCUGUACUUGAGUCCCAUUCCCGCACAUUUCACAAAACAGGCUUCCAAAAUUAAAUUUUAUUUCAGUCUCUAAGGGACGUGUACACGAGCGUGUGAAUGACAAGGACAUGGCCCAGCCCAAGGCUCCCCGGCCCAGAUUGUGGCCGUGGGUUUCACCUGAUUUAGACACUGAGUCAACACAGACACAACCAAACGUGGCCCUGGGCCCCUGACGGGAUGCACAGAUGCUACGUCGAAAACAGGUGACCAGGACACGACGCAAACAGGUCCCACCACCAGCUGCACAGGAAGCAGGUUCAACCGCCCGCGGGCCAGGCAGGUUCCACCCCGAGACGGUGGCGGCCCUGGGCCCCCCACGGCUGGAGGUAGACCACGGGGGCAGCCGGACGGGCAGCGGUUGGAGGUCAGCCUGGUUGCCCAUGGCCGAAACUGACCCUCGCCACACCCCUGUCUUCCUGGGACCGAGACUCCAAGAGAAAGAUGUUCUCUGUCCCAACCAGAUUUAAGGCUAGUAUUUCCUGACAUUUGUUUCAGUUUGUUUUAAGUUAAAAUUACCUGAGUAGAAAAGUUUCAGACGCUUUUAAGAGCCAGAAACACACAACCUCUAUAGGCACAGCUGUUGCUGGCGCUCACCCGGGGCCACCGCCCCCUCAGGGGGCGCCAAGGAGCCACGCGAAGGGCUGCACGGGCCAAGCUGCCCUUCGCCAGCGUGCUGGCCCGGCACCCCCGCGAGGCGCCCCCUGCGACGCGGAGAGAAGGCACAGUGAGGUAGGGGCUGGCCGGCUGCGGCCCACCGCGCCUCACCCCUCCCCCGCCAGCUCAUCCCGGGCCGGUGAACUUCCUAGCGGCCCGCAGGGAGAGGGUGGAGGGGGGCUGCUGGGAAGCCCGAGCUCAGACAGUGAAAUAAUUCUUUAUUUGGGCGGGUUGGGAGAGGGCAGGCGAGGCUAGGCUGGACCCCCAUGGGGGGUGGCACCCAGGAGCUCCUCAGGGGGCCGGCCCCCCAUGCCCCUCGGCCGUGUCACAGGAGCAGCUGUGGGCAGCCCCCUGGACGGACGUGGUGGCUCCCUCUGUCCUUCCUACUUGUGUGGCCAGGCCUCGGAGGCCCUCUGCAGGCAGUACUGGGCGGCAGGCAGUGACAAGACCAGGCUGCUGGCACGGCGCCCCAUCCAGUACAGGCCGUAGCCCAGGAGGCCCAAGAAGGUGGCCUUCACGGCCAGCCAGGACACUCUGC